rnacentral:rRNA from 1 species
GUUCACUAUGGCUCACUGAACGCUGGCGGGAUGCUUUACACAUGCAAGUCGAACGGCAGCACGGACUUCGGUCUGGUGGCGAGUGGCGAACGGGUGAGUAACGUAUCGGAACGUGCCUAGUAGCGUGGAUAACUACGCGAAAGCGUAGCUAAUACCGCAUACGCCCUUCGGGGGAAAGCGGGGACCUCGGGCCUCGCACUAUUAGAGCGGCCGAUAUCGGAUUACGUAGCUGGUGGGGUAACAACGACCACCAAGGCGACGAUCCGUAGUCAGUUUGAGAGACGACCAGCCACACUGGGACCGGCGACACGCCCAGACUCCUACGGGAGGCAGCAGUGGGGAAUUUUGACAAUGGGGAAACCCCGAUCCAGCCAUCUCGCGUGUGCGAUGAAGGCCUUCGGGUUGCAAAGACUUUUGGCAGGAGAAAUGGCACGGAUAAUACCCGCAACUGAUUGUACCUGCAGAAUAAGCACCGGCCAACUACGCGCCAGCAGCCGCGGUAAUACGUAGGGCAUGCGUUAAUCGAAUUUACUGGCGAAGCGUGCGCAGGCGGUUCGGAAAAAGAAAGAUGAACCUGCUAGAGCUUAAUCUUUGAACCGCAUUUUAACUGAGCUAGAGUGUGUCAGAGGGAGGUGGAAUCUCCGCGUGUGCGAAUGCGUGGACAUGCGGAGGAAUCACUGAUGGCGAAGGUGUUCUCCUGGGAUAACACCGACGCUCAUGCACGAAAGCGUGGGGAGCAAACAGGAUUAGAUACCCUGGUAGUCCACGCCUCGGAACAGAUGUCACAACUAGCUGCCAGCCCGGCCUGGUAGCGUGUGAAGACAAGGUAGUUGACCGCCUGGGGAGUACGGUCGCAAGAUUAAAACCAAGGAAUUGACGGGGACCCGCACAAGCGGUGGAUGAUGAUUAAUUCGAUGCAACGCGAAAACCUUACCUACCCUGACAUGUCUGGAAUCCUUAGAGAUUUGGGAGUGCUCGCAAGAGAACUGGAACACAGGUGCUGCAUGGCUGCUCGCCUCAGCUCGUGUCGUGAGAUGUUGCUGUCCCACGAGCGCAACUCUGUCAUUAGCUGCUUACAGCAAGCACUUCCACUGAGAUCGCCGGCAGACGAACCGGAGGAAGGUGGGAUGAUGUCAAAUCCUCAUGGUCUUAUGGGUAGGGCUUCACACGUCAUACAAUGGUCGGGACAGAGGGCUUCGCCAACCCAAGCAGGGGGAGCCAAUCCCAGAAACCCGAUCGUAGUCCGGAUCGCAGUCUGAACUGACUGCGUGAAGUCGGAAUCGCUAGUAAUCGCGGAUCAGCAUGUCGCGGGGUAGUAUGUCCCGGGUCUUGCAUACACCGCCCGCACUACACCAUGGGAGUGGGUUUCUACCAGAAGCAGUUAGCCUAACCGUGGCAGAGGCGAUUACCGACGGUAGGAUUCAUGACUUCGGGGGUCGUAACAGGUAG